AACGAACGCUGGCGGCAGGCUUAACACAUGCAAGUCGAACGCGUGUAGCAAUACACGAGUGGCGCACGGGUGAGUCACGCGUGGAUAUCUGCCUUUUGGUUCGGAAUAACCCCGGGAAACUGGGGCUAAUACCGGAUGGUUCCUUCGGGAUAAAGAUUUAUCGCCAAAAGAUGAGUCCGCGUACGAUUAGCUAGUUGGUGAGGUAAUGGCUCACCAAGGAGACGAUCGUUAGCUGGUCUGAGAGGACGAUCAGCCACACUGGGACUGAGACACGGCCCAGACUCCUACGGGAGGCAGCAGUGGGGAAUAUUGGACAAUGGGGGCAACCCUGAUCCAGCCAUGCCGCGUGAGUGAUGAAGGCCUUCGGGUUGUAAAGCUCUUUUGGCGGGGACGAUGAUGACGGUACCCGCAGAAUAAGCCCCGGCUAACUUCGUGCCAGCAGCCGCCGUAACAC
rnacentral:rRNA from 1 species